rnacentral:rRNA from 1 species
AAAGGGCCGCGGUAAUUUGACCGUGCAAAGGUAGCAUAGUCAUUAGCUUUUUAAUUGAAAGCUGGAAUGAAUGGCUAGAUGAGAAGUUAGCUGUCUUUUUAUAUAAGAAGAAAUUAACCUUUAAGUGAAAAGGCUUAAAUUUAUUGGGGGGACGAUAAGACCCUGUAAAACUUAUAUAUUUUGUUUUACUAAGGUGUAAAAUUUGGUUUAAGUUAUUUAGUGUAAGGGAUAUUUUGUUGGGGAGACACAGACAUAAAUUAAUACUAACUGUUUGUAAGAAUUUUAUAAUUUUGUUUAGAUUUAGAUCCUUUUGUAGAGAUUAAAAGAGGAAGUUACUUCAGGGAUAACAGCGUAAUUCUCUUUGAGAGUUCCUAUCGACAAGAGUAGUUGCGACCUCGAUGUUGAAUUAAGGUUUCAGAAAGGUGUAGCCG